CAUCCCUGUGAGGAUUUUGUUCAAUUAAAAAGUAGUGGACUGAUCUUAAUUGAUGAACAACUCAACUCUGAGGGAUG